GAGAGCUAGACAUAUGAUGAAUGGUCUAAAGACAUGUUUUGAAGUUUUCCUAUAUGUGAAAAGCUAUGAUCAUAAGCUGUUCUCUCAAUCUGAUGGGGCUAUUACAUGGUUGAUGGAAAAGAUGUCAUGGUUAAUUCUCUCCCUUUGCUCAUGUCAUCAAGUUCUCCACCCUAUCAUGCUAUAUUGGUAAUUGUGAGCCUUUGAAAUGAAUCAGAUUAAUGGACUAUGGAGAAGGAAGUGCAUUUGUAAAAGAAAGGAUCAACCUUGUUGGCAGUACAGUCGUUGUGGAUGGCAAUUUCCUGAAGAGAGAGUGUCCAUGCUUUGUAAGGGGAACUUGUUAUGAAAAAUACUUGGUAAGGAACAGAGCUAUGGAUAAGCCAAUACAUGGGAAAGCAGCUGGUUGGAUUUUAAGUUAUGCCUUGCAGAAACAGAAUUAGUCUCCAUUCUGAUGACAAAUACUGCUAAUGAGGCUUGUGAGCCCUUUUAAGGAAACAUAGCUUGGUCUCCUCAAGAUGCUUUCAUUGAUCUGUUGAAGGAUUCUGAGUUGGCACAUCUGAAAAGCUUGAGGAGUAACCCUCGUACCAAUUCACUUGAAGCCUUCCUAUAAGAUGCAUAUCUUCUGAUCUAAAGGGAAGGUGAUGUAACAAGAGCAGCUGCCCCAACAUUGAAUGGUCAAGACAAAUGUCCUCAGAUUGAAGAAUUGGGAUAUCUAAUGAACCUUUCUUGGAGACUGAUUUUUGGCUAUCUUGAGGGAUUCAAUGGCAAAGAAGCUGCUCAAAGGGCGGAUUUGUUUAAAGAUCCAAAUUUGUACGAGUUGGGAUUCUGAUAGUAGGGUCAAGAAUAACAAGAAUGUGUUAUCUUGGGAGGCUCAUUUACUUCAAUUUCAAUUGAGAUAAUGAAAAAUCAUUUUAUCUUUUUAGUGCUCCCCCAAAAGGAAGAAUGGAAGCUCAUAUCGAUAAUUCAUUCCUAAGGCUUAAAAAUUUGAUGGAGGUCAAAUUGUUGCACUGCAGCAAGUUGCAAAGGAUUCGCAACAUUUGGGCAUCAACCGUUUCUUCACUGUCUUGUAAUGGAUUGGCAAGAAGCAUUAGAUUUUCACUCCAGCUGUAAAGUCAUUUCCAGCACUUAAAAUGAGAAACGGUUGAUGGACACUGAUGUUACAUCAACAACACGCGAAAUGAGAAGUGUUUCCUUCCCUUUGACCACUUCUCCCAGUCAUUUCCCAUGUCCUAAAAUUUUACUUGAAAGCCUGGAGAUCAAGCAUGUUCACCAUGGCUUACCAGUGGCCCAGGAUUUGCUAUAUUCCUCAUUUUUGUGUAGAAGAAUCCAAGCCUAUCAUUUUGCAAGUUUCGGCACCAAGUCUGUAAUGUCUUCUUCGUUGUGCUUUGUACUGAUUUUUAGAUAUAGGCACUGAAGAUAUUCGACAUGUCCACUUAGUACAUAUCAUCUAUUUAUCAGAUCAUCUUCUGCUUCACUUUUAAUAUAUGCCUGGAGAUUUGGGCUCAUAUCCCACUCCAUUGUAAUUAUUUGAGUAAUUAAUAAAAUUUUGGGAUGACGUCCC